GACCUUCCCUCUCCAGGGAUCACCAUCCGCUGGAACCCGGGAUGGCUGUGGCUCUACACAGCCCAGUGAAUUCUCAGGCUGCAUCACUACCUUGAUGCACCUGUGGGACAUGGUUUUGAUCCCCUUCAACAACUUACACCCAUUCACGUGGCACAGCUGUACCCCAACAUGUGCCUUGCUUGGGCUCCUGCUCCCGGGACCCAUUUAUUCACCAUUACCUUUUCUAUUAUCAAGACAAAUAGGUCCCUUCAUACAUGUGUCCCCUUUUGGUCACCGUGGGGGGAUUUGUCUGGCCCCGCUUGCUGUACCCCAUCGGCGGACCUGUUUUUAGAUCUUCUCCUGACGAAGCGGGUUUACCCGCGAAACUAGUUGAGAUACUGCCACAACCCUCAACUCAUCGCAAUGUUUUCCCCUACCAGGGACCCCUGUUUUGGUGUUGUUCGGUUGUGACUAUUUUAAUUCUUUAAUUGUCUGUCAUGUUUAUGUUUUGUGGAAUAAAAAUUAAUUUUUUAUAUAU